rnacentral:rRNA from 1 species
ACGGGUGAGUAACGCGUGGGAAUCUACCGUGCCCUGCGGAAUAGCUCCGGGAAACUGGAAUUAAUACCGCAUACGCCCUACGGGGGAAAGAUUUAUCGGGGUAUGAUGAGCCCGCGUUGGAUUAGCUAGUUGGUGGGGUAAAGGCCUACCAGGGCGACUAUCCAUAGCUGGUCUGAGAGGAUGAUCAGCCACAUUGGGACUGAGACACGGCCCAAACUCCUACGGGAGGCAGCAGUGGGGAAUAUUGGACAAUGGGCGCAAGCCUGAUCCAGCCAUGCCGCGUGAGUGAUGAAGGCCUUAGGGUUGUAAAGCUCUUUCACCGGAAAAGAUAAUGACCGUAUCCGGAGAAGAAGCCCCGGCUAAGUUCGUGCCAGCAGCCGCGGUAAUACUAAGGGGGCUAGCGUUGUUCGGAAUUACUGGGCGUAAAGCGCACGUAGGCGGAUAUUUAAGUCAGGGGUGAAAUCCCAGAGCUCAACUCUGGAACUGCCUUUGAUACUGGGUAUCUUGAGUAUGGAAGAGGUAAGUGGAAUUCCGAGUGUAGAGGUGAAAUUCGUAGA